CGAAAUAUAACGCAGUCUGGUAGCGUGCCUGAUUUGGGAUCAGGAAGUCAUAUGUUCAAAUCAUAUUAUUUCGA
rnacentral:tRNA from 1 species